rnacentral:lncRNA from 1 species
AAUAAUUCACACUACAAUCUAACCCAACCAAAACAUAACCCAUGUUCACUAACACCCAUCCUCUUCAUCUUCAACUACCACCACCAUUUGAUUUCUCUAUCUUCUGUAUACCACCAAUAUUAACAUCAGCGCCUACUACCACCAGCACUUCGCCAUUCCAGCACCACCAUCAUCUAACCAACACCACCUCGACAUGUCACCCACCCAAUUCCAAUGUCGCAGUAAAAUUAUGUGAUCCUUUCUCAAAUCAAGCUGUAGCGAAAAAACCCAUCUUAGAUACAGGUAAUACUUGCACUGCCAAUUUGCAUUUAGUUUUUAAAUUCAUUACUCUAAACUUUGAUUCUCUCUCGCCCCCUUGUCAAUCAUCAUCCAUAUACAUUCAAUCUGCAAUUUUCUGGUCCACAAAACCAGGAAUAUUUAUUUGCACUUUUUCGUUCCCAAAUUCCUGUUUUAAUUUUAAGUUUACCAGGAAACGUGCUGGAAUUUGAUCAGAUCGCCGAAAAAAUUCAUAAAGUUAAUUAAUAAAAAAAAAAAAUUAAUUAGUCAUCAGGAAACAAUUGGUAACAAUUGUUGGAGUUUUCGCCGUCGUGCUUAGAAAUUGAAGAGUGGAGGUGGCGCCGCGUGAUGGUGGUGGUGGUGGUGGUUGGUGUGGUGGUGGGUGUUGGGUGGCGGAUGUUAAAGCAGGAUGGAGGAUGGAAGAUGUAGAUGUUAAUUUCUUCCCCAAAAUUUUAUUUUUCCCAGAAUUCUGCUUUUAUUUUAUAAAUUUCCUUCCAUUUUUCUAAAUUUUCCUAUUUUUUAAUAACUUUUCUUCCAGUUUUCUUAAAUUUUACGACUUUAUUUUAAUUUUUCUUCCAUUUUACUUUUUUUUUUAGCUUUAAAAUAUCUUUGCAUUAUCUCGAGUAUCCUGGUAUUAUUUUACAUUUCCAAAAAAAAAAUUAAGGGUUACUUAACUUUUGAUUUUACAUAUUGGUAUUUUUUAUUUAAGUUUUAUGAAAAAAAAUUGGUCUAUCAAGUUUUUCUAUCAUCGUAUCUUAUUAAAAUAAAUUUCUACAAUUUAAAAUAUGUUUUUUUUACACAUAAUCACUAAAAUGUGAUUUACGUGGAGCUCUCUCUCUCUCUCUCAAUCAUAUGCCAACUCAAUUUUAUGUUAAAAAGUCACAGUGCUCUUAAUGGUUUUUGUAACGUUUUGUCAAAGAAAAUGAGUUUGAUGAUGCAAAAAUCAGCUCCCAGUUCAAUGCCCAAAAAAGCAUUUAACCCUAUAUUCAUUAACAAACAUGUGAUGAAUAAAUUAAUGGCUUAAAUACACUUUAAACUUUUAUGUUUUAGCAUUUCUUGCCGGAAUAAUUCAUGUGAGUCGAACUGAAAGGGUAAUGUAGUCUUUUAAGGGAAUAUAUCGUUUAUAUUAGCUAUGAUUUUUCUACCUUUCUCUUCCCUUCAUCUACUAAUCACAUGUCUAUAAUUUUAUGUGCUUCCAACUAUAUCUAAGAGUGAAAUUAUCCAAAAUCCUCACUCUGAUCAAUUAUCACACGGUGAUGGCUAGAAGGUUUUAUUUAAUGAAAUAUUGGGGUUUAAAUUCUAAAAUGCUUAAAACUUCAAAGCGUAUAUGAGAAUUAAGAAUAAAUUUAAUGAACACAGGAUAGCAUCAGUUGAAAACUUUAAAUGGCUGUAAGACUACUAAUAGACACAUAAUUUAUACAUUUUAUUAUCCCUAAUUUUGUCAUUUUAAUUAUAUUAAUUUAUUAAAUUAAUACGUUCUAUUUUAUUUUGUAGGAUUUAAUAUUUUAUUGCAAUAGAGUCAAAAUCUUGGUAGUCAAGUGAUAUUUAAUGCUCUUUUUCAUGUAAGAAAAUAUCCAAGAAUAAUCCUACAACGAGAAAGAAAUAGGUGGAACAAUCUUGGCGUGCAAGUAAAAUCCAGCAAGAGAAAAGAAAGUCUAUCUAGAAGAUCUCUUUGAGAAGUUAACUUUCACUAGGAAGUUGAAACCUACAUGAAAAUUGACUCUUAGGAGAUUACCAUGUAGAGAUUGAAGCCAAUAAGGAACGAAGAGGAUAAAAGGGAACAAAAGAGACCAAGUUCAAAUAAUCUAAAUUAGGGCACAAAUUUAUUUUCCCUAUAAAUAGGUCUCUUGUUUUAAAUUAAAGGGAGUAUUGUAUUGUAUUGGAUGGUAUUAAUUUAUGUUAGGAGUAGGAGUAGAUUAAAUUACUUCUUCAUUGUACGUUUGUUGGAGAAUCAUGAAUAAAGAAAGUUUUCUUAUUUAUUUUUACUCUUUUACUUUUUCUUUAUUUUAGUUAAUUUAUUUAUUUUCAUGUCUAGUUAAUUUCUUAGAUGAAAUUAAUUAAUUAUUCAUGAUAAUAUUAUUCAUCUCUUCUAUUAUUUAUGUUUUUAUGUUUAAUUGAUUUCGCAUUCAUGUUUCGUUAUUAAAAUACCUCUGUUUUAUAGUUCUUAUGUGAUUUUAAAUUAAUUAAGAUGUUUUGAUAGAUUAUUGUUAAGAUAUUAGUUUUUCAUAAUACAUGCUUGCUCAAAGAAGUUUUGAUGAGUUAUAGUUAAUCCUUAAAUUUUCGUAGUUUGUGUUUGCCCACGUUAAUUGUAAAUUUACUAAAUUAAAGGGAAGGGAGAUCAAAGUUAUAAAAAUAGAAGAGAUUGAAUUACUUAUUAUGUGUUUAAUGGAUUCGGAUUCCUAGAUUGCUUACUCAAUAUUAGUUUUCAUAUUCUAGUUAAUCAAUUUUCAAAUUUUAUUUCUAAUUCGCCUAAAAUAGAUAUUAAGGAUACAUUAAAAUUAAUCUAGUCUCUGUAGAUUCGAAAUGUACUUACCAGUUCUUCAAUUUGACACUAUGCUCUUGCAGGAACAUAUUUUUAUGACAUCAACUACCCUUUUUUCUUUAAUAAGUAAUACUGAAAAACCAUCAAUAAACAGAUGUGUAUGAAAAGUUAGACGUACUUGGAAUGCUCAAGAAUAGCAUAUGAAAAGUAAGAUAUACUGAGAAUGCUAAAGAAUAGCUGGAAAACACUAAAAAGGAC